rnacentral:rRNA from 1 species
GACGAACCGUGCGAACGUUAUUCGGAAUCACUGGGCUUAAAGCGCGUGUAGGCGGGCCAUCACGUCGGUCGCUGAAAGCCCCCGGCUCAACCGGGGAAGGGGCGCCGAUACGAGUGGCCUGGAGGGAGGUAGGGGGAGCCGGAACUGCCGGUGGAGCGGUGAAAUGCGUUGAGAUCGGCAGGAACGCCCGUGGCGAAAGCGGGCUCCCGGACCUCACCUGACGCUGAGACGCGAAAGCCAGGGGAGCGAACGGG